GGUUCUCGCAAAAACGGCAUAAACACACCGAGAAGAGAAAACUGCAGCAAACUAAAUCCCUAAAACUUAACUCUGCCUCUCUUCGUUUUAUAUGCAGGUGCGAUUUUAUUCAAGAGAUCAACCUAUUUUUGCACGUUUUGGAUCCGAGAAGAAUGACAUAUGUGGAAGAAGCUGGGUACAUCAAGGCAGUGAGCAUGGUGAUCCUACACUUUUUGCCUAUCUCACAAUUCUAUUUUUUUGUUGCAUUGCAAAGCUGAAGCCUGAAGGUACUAUUUGUGACAAGCAAGCUUAAGGUUAUGCAGGAAAUUGUGUAGCUGAUAUCUACAACAACCUUGGGAAAACAUGGGAGAAGCUGAGAGUUUUCCAGACAGACUACUAAUGGUUUUGAUU